rnacentral:rRNA from 1 species
AGAGUUUGAUCCUGGCUCAGGACGAACGCUGGCGGCGUGCUUAACACAUGCAAGUCGAGCGGGGAACUUCGGUUUCCAGCGGCGGACGGGUGAGUAACACGUGGGCAACCUGCCUCAUAGUGGGGGAUAGCCCUCCGAAAGGAGGAUUAAUACCGCAUAAUACUCAAGGAUCACAUGUUCCUUGAGCCAAAGGAUUUAUUCGCUAUGAGAUGGGCCCGCGGCGCAUUAGCUUGUUGGUGAGGUAACGGCUCACCAAGGCCUCGAUGCGUAGCCGACCUGAGAGGGUGAUCGGCCACAUUGGAACUGAGACACGGUCCAGACUCCUACGGGAGGCAGCAGUGGGGAGUAUUGCACAAUGGAGGAAACUCUGAUGCAGCAACGCCGCGUGAGUGAUGAAGGUCUUCGGAUCGUAAAGCUCUGUCUUAUGGGACGAUAAUGACGGUACCAUAGGGGGAAGCCACGGCUAACUACGUGCCAGCAGCCGCGGUAAUACGUAGGUGGCAAGCGUUGUCCGGAUUACUGGGCGUAAAGGAUGUGUAGCGGAUAUUUAAGUGAGAUGUGAAAUCCCCGGGCUUAACUUGGGGGGCUGCAUUUUCA